UGUUUGAUGUUCUAACGUGGACCCGUGAUCCGGGUUGCGGACAGUGUCUGGUGGGUAGUUUGACUGGGGCGGUCUCCUCCUAAAGAGUAACGGAGGAGCACGAAGGUUGGCUAAUCCUGGUCGGACAUCAGGAGGUUAGUGCAAUGGCAUAAGCCAGCUUGACUGCGAGCGUGACGGCGCGAGCAGGUGCGAAAGCAGGUCAUAGUGAUCCGGUGGUUCUGAAUGGAAGGGCCAUCGCUCAACGGAUAAAAGGUACUCCGGGGAUAACAGGCUGAUACCGCCCAAGAGUUCAUAUCGACGGCGGUGUUUGGCACCUCGAUGUCGGCUCAUCACAUCCUGGGGCUGAAGUAGGUCCCAAGGGUAUGGCUGUUCGCCAUUUAAAGUGGUACGCGAGCUGGGUUUAGAACGUCGUGAGACAGUUCGGUCCCUAUCUGCCGUGGGCGCUGGAGAACUGAGGGGGGCUGCUCCUAGUACGAGAGGACCGGAGUGGACGCAUCACUGGUGUUCGGGUUGUCAUGCCAAUGGCACUGCCCGGUAGCUAAAUGCGGAAGAGAUAAGUGCUGAAAGCAUCUAAGCACGAAACUUGCCCCGAGAUGAGUUCUCCCUGAGACUUAGAGUCUCCUGAAGGAACGUUGAAGACGACGACGUUGAUAGGCCGGGUGUGUAAGCGCAGCGAUGCGUUGAGCUAACCGGUACUAAUGAACCGUGAGGCUUAACCUUACAACGCCGAA
rnacentral:rRNA from 1 species